rnacentral:tRNA from 1 species
AAAGGUGCAGCUCAGAGCCCCUCUGAUAGCCCAAGAGCCGCUGAUUCCCAAGCUCAGAGCGCGAGUUCGAUUCUCGUCACC